rnacentral:SRP_RNA from 1 species
UGACGUGAACAGCGACAGGCGCGGACAGAAGAAGCGUGAAGAAGCCUUGCGCU